rnacentral:rRNA from 1 species
CCGCAUAAGCGCACGGCAUCGCAUGAUGCAGUGUGAAAAACUCCGGUGGUAUAAGAUGGACCCGCGUUGGAUUAGCUAGUUGGUGAGGUAACGGCCCACCAAGGCGGCGAUCCAUAGCCGACCUGAGAGGGUGACCGGCCACAUUGGGACUGAGACACGGCCCAAACUCCUACGGGAGGCAGCAGUGGGGAAUAUUGCACAAUGGGCGAAAGCCUGAUGCAGCGACGCCGCGUGAGCGAAGAAGUAUUUCGGUAUGUAAAGCUCUAUCAGCAGGGAAGAUAAUGACGGUACCUGACUAAGAAGCACCGGCUAAAUACGUGCCAGCAGCCGCGGUAAUACGUAUGGUGCAAGCGUUAUCCGGAUUUACUGGGUGUAAAGGGAGCGCAGGCGGUGCGGCAAGUCUGAUGUGAAAGCCCGGGGCUCAACCCCGGUACUGCAUUGGAAACUGUCGUACUAGAGUGUCGGAGGGGUAAGCGGAAUUCCUAGUGUAGCGGUGAAAUGCGUAGAUAUUAGGAGGAACACCAGUGGCGAAGGCGGCUUACUGGACGAUAACUGACGCUGAGGCUCGAAAGCGUGGGGAGCAAACAGGAUUAGAUACCCUGGUAGUCCACGCCGU